rnacentral:misc_RNA from 1 species
GGAAGGAUCAUUAACACGUUUCCACGUACCCACCCACUGUGCACUGCGCGUGCGGCUUGCGACUUGCUCGCUCGCUCGCACGCGACACAGAUGUCGAGCGCGCGUGCGCCCGCAUGCUCGCGAUCGAUCGACGACACACACCGCCUCGUGCGGCGUGCUGGAGGCGAUCGCUCUCGUGCUCGCUCGCUCGCUCGCUCGCGUCUGCUCCUACACGUACUCCCCCUCGAUACCUUAUCAGUUGUUGUGGAGGCCGCUCUCGGGCGCCUUCGAAUGUUUAUUUCAACCACAUACAACUCUUAGCAAUGGAUAUCUUGGCUCUCGCACCGAUGAAGAACGCAGCGAAAUGCGAUACGUAAUGCGAAUUGCAGAAUUCAGUGAAUCAUCCAAUCUUUGAACGCAAAUGGCGCUCUCGGGUCAGCCCCGGGAGCACGCCUCUCUCAGUAUCGGUUCACCAACCUACCCAUCAGCCGCUGCUGCGCUGCACGAGCUCGCUCGUGUGUGCACGCGCGCUGGACAAUGAGAGUCGGGCAGCGUGCAGCUGCUCGUCUCUUCAAGUGCAGUGAGGCGGUGCUUCGCUCACGCUCAGUGACCAAGUCGUUUUCGUGACGGUGUGUUUUCCCCGUCCACUCCUCUCUCCCUCCUGUCCCUGCGCUCUCGACGCUGUCGAGGUGCGUCAGCUGGCGGCGACGUGAAUAACGCAGUGACGUCUCGACGCCACACCGCGCUUUCCGUCUCACCUGCCUGCACGACCACCUCACCAGCGCAGCGACGAGCGCGCACGGACGAAACGCGGAUCGAGAUGCGGCGUGUGAAGAUGAGCAAUCGCUGAGUGGAAGUGCCACCAAGCAAAACAACGACGCGCAUCGCUUGCGGCAGUCCUCGCGACUGUCGACAGCGAGCGCGUCUCCGAUCAUGAUCUGAGAUGAAGCGAGAGGACCCCCUGAAUUUAAGCAUAUUAAUAAGGGGAGGAAAAGAAACUAACAAGGAUUCCCUCAGUAACGGCGAGUGAAGCGGGAGCAGCUCAAUGUGAGAAUCGGUGUUCGUUCGACUGCAACACCGAAUUGUAGUCUCUAGACGCGUUGUCAGCGUGCGAGUCGGGUCCAAGUCUUUUGGAACGAGGCAUCAUAGAGGGUGAGAAUCCCGUCUCUGAUCCGACGAGAGUCGCCGCGUACGAUGCGCGUUCUUCGAGUCGAGUUGUUUGGGUUGCAGCUCUAAGCAGGUGGUAAGUUUCAUCCAAAGCUAAAUACACGCGAGAGACCGAUAGCGAACAAGUACCGUGAGGGAAAGAUGAAAAGAACUUUGAAAAGAGAGUGAAAGAGUACUUGAAAUUGCUAAGAGGGAAGCGCUGAGUCGGAGCACCGCUCGGUCGACAUCUUCGCUCGUGUGCCGGUGCGAGUCGCGUGCGCAGGGUGGGCAACUCCCUGUGCGCGCGUCGUCGCGCUGGUCGCGGGUCCAGUGUCGAGCGACAGUUCCGGAUCCAAUCGAUUGGGCACAGAAGUGCGCGAGAAAGGUAGGACUCCCUCUCGGGGGAGUCUGUUACAGUCUCGUGUGACGAUGCCCGAUUGGCUGGAGGAAGUCAUAGUGCGCCGCUUGCGGCUUCACUCGCGGUCGUCUGGUGCUUGGCGCGCGGCGGCAGAGCAAUGCUCUGCUCUGCGCGACGGGCGCUACUGCGGCUGCGGGUGGAUGUGCUAUCGCGAUCCGGGAGCAAUCCGCCUCAUCGACCCGUCUUGAAACACGGACCAAGGAGUCUAACAUCUAUGCGAGUAGUUGGGUGGCAAACCCGCGUGCGCAAUGAAAGUAAAGGCAGCUUCGGCUGCUGAGGUAGGAAUCGGGCAACCGAGGCACUAUCGACCGAUCAUCACUUGUGAGAGAUUUGAGUGCGAGCAUAGCUGUUGGGACCCGAAAGAUGGUGAUCUAUGCCUGAACAGGGUGAAGCCAGGGGAAACUCUGGUGGAGGCUCGUAGCGAUACUGACGUGCAAAUCGUUCGUCUGAUUUGGGUAUAGGGGCGAAAGACUAAUCGAACCAUCUAGUAGCUGGUUCCCUC